UACGGGGGGGGCAAGCGUUGUUCGGAAUCAUUGGGCGUAAAGGGUGUGUAGGCGGCCAUGUAAGUCAGUUGUGAAAGCCCCGGGCUCAACCCGGGAAGUGCUUCUGAUACUGCUUGGCUUGAGUAUUGGAUAGGUGAGUGGAAUUCCAGGUGUAGUGGUGAAAUACGUAGAUAUCUGGAGGAACACCGGCGGCGAAGGCGGCUCACUGGCCAUAUACUGACGCUGAAACACGAAAGCGUGGGUAGCAAACAGG
rnacentral:rRNA from 1 species